rnacentral:rRNA from 1 species
GAUGAACGCUGGCGGCGUGCCUAAUACAUGCAAGUCGAGCGAACGGACGAGAAGCUUGCUUCUCUGAUGUUAGCGGCGGACGGGUGAGUAACACGUGGAUAACCUACCUAUAAGACUGGGAUAACUUCGGGAAACCGGAGCUAAUACCGGAUAAUAUUUUGAACCGCAUGGUUCAAAAGUGAAAGACGGUCUUGCUGUCACUUAUAGAUGGAUCCGCGCUGCAUUAGCUAGUUGGUAAGGUAACGGCUUACCAAGGCAACGAUGCAUAGCCGACCUGAGAGGGUGAUCGGCCACACUGGAACUGAGACACGGUCCAGACUCCUACGGGAGGCAGCAGUAGGGAAUCUUCCGCAAUGGGCGAAAGCCGGACGGAGCAACGCCGCGUGAGUAAUGAAGGUCUUCGGAUCGUAAAACUCUGUUAUUAGGGAAGAACAUAUGUGUAAGUAACUGUGCACAUCUUGACGGUACCUAAUCAGAAAGCCACGGCUAACUACGU